rnacentral:rRNA from 1 species
AUACGUAGGGGGCGAGCGUUGUCCGGAAUUACUGGGCGUAAAGGGUGCGUAGGCGGCUGUACAAGUCAGAUGUGAAAAGCUACGGCUUAACCGUGGACCUGCAUAUGAAACUGUACAGCUUGAGUGCGGGAGAGGCAAGCGGAAUUCCUAGUGUAGCGGUGAAAUGCAUAGAUAUUAGGAGGAACACCAGUGGCGAAGGCGGCUUGCUGGACCGUAACUGACGCUGAGGCACGAAAGCGUGGGGAGCAAACAGGAUUAGAUACCCUGGUAGUCCACGCUGUAAACGAUGGAUACUAGGUGUAGGAGGUAUCGACCCCUUCUGUGCCGGAGCAAACGCAAUAAGUAUCCCGCCUGGGGAGUACGGCCGCAAGGUUGAA